rnacentral:rRNA from 1 species
UAAGACGAACCGUGCGAACGUUGUUCGGAAUCACUGGGCUUAAAGGGCGCGUAGGCGGGCGAUCAAGUCCGGGGUGAAAGCUUUCGGCUCAACCGGAAAAGGGCCUUGGAUACUGAUCGUCUGGAGGGAGGUAGGGGUCCGUGGAACUUCCGGUGGAGCGGUGAAAUGCGUUGAUAUCGGAAGGAACGCCGGUGGCGAAAGCGACGGACUGGAUCUCUUCUGACGCUGAGGCGCGAAAGCCAGGGGAGCAAACGGGAUUAGAUACCCCGGUAGUCCUGGCCCUAAACGAUGGGUACUAGGUAGCGGACUUGACAUGGGUUCGCUGCCGAAGCCAAAGUGCUAAGUACCCCGCCUGGGGAGUAUGGUCGCAAGGCUG